rnacentral:rRNA from 1 species
AGUGAACGCUGGCGGUAGGCCUAACACAUGCAAGUCGAACGGCAGCACAGUAAGAGCUUGCUCUUACGGGUGGCGAGUGGCGGACGGGUGAGGAAUACAUCGGAAUCUACUUUUUCGUGGGGGCUAACGUAGGGAAACUUACGCUAAUACCGCAUACGACCUACGGGUGAAAUCAGGGGAUCUUCCGACCUUGCGCGAUUGAAUGAGCCGAUGUCGGAUUAGCUAGUUGGCGGGGUAAAGGCCCACCAAGGCGACGAUCCGUAGCUGGUCUGAGAGGAUGAUCAGCCACACUGGAACUGAGACACGGUCCAGACUCCUACGGGAGGCAGCAGUGGGGAAUAUUGGACAAUGGGCGCAAGCCUGAUCCAGCCAUACCGCGUGGGUGAAGAAGGCCUUCGGGUUGUAAAGCCCUUUUGUUGGGAAAGAAAAGCAGCAGGUUAAUACCCCGCUGUUCUGACGGUACCCAAAGAAUAAGCACCGGCUAACUUCGUG